UCCUCGAUAGUAUAGUGGUGAGUAUCUCCGCCUGUCAUGCGGAAGACCGGGGUUCAAUUCCCCGUCGGGGAG
rnacentral:tRNA from 1 species